rnacentral:rRNA from 1 species
UCAAGAAUCUUCCACAAUGACCGAAAGGUUGAUGGAGCGACGCCGCGUGUAUGAAGACGCCCCUCGGGGUGUAAAGUACUUUUUUCUGGGAAGAAACAAUGACGGUACCAGAAGAAUAAGGAGCUGCUAACCUCGUGCCAGCAGCAGCGGUAAUACGAGGGCUCCAAGCGUUAUCCGGAUUUAUUGGGCGUAAAGGGUUGGUAGGCGGUUUGUCACAUCUUCUGUUAAAUCCUCGGGCUCAACCCGGGGGCCGCGGAAGAGAUGGGCAGACUAGAGAUUGGAAGAGGCAAGUGGAAUUGCUGGUGUAGGGGUUAAAUCCGUUAAUAUCAGCAGGAACACCAAAUGUGAAGACAACUUGCUAGGACAAUUCUGACGCUGAACAACGAAAGCGUGGGGAGCG